AUUGAACGCUGGCGGCAGGCUUAACACAUGCAAGUCGAGCGAGCGGCGGACGGGUGAGUAAUGUAUGGGAAACUGCCUGAUGGAGGGGGAUCACUACUGGCAACGGUAGCUAAUACCGCAUACCUACAUAGGCGCCCAGAUUGGAUUAGGUAGUAGGUGGGGUAUUGGCUCACCUAGGCGACGAUCCCUAGCAGGUCUGAGAGGAUGACCAGCCAGACUGGAACUGAGACACGGUCCAGACUCCUACGGGAGGCAGCAGUGGGGAAUAUUUCGCAAUGGGCGCAAGCCUGAUGCAGCCAUGCCGCGUGUAUGAAGAAGGCCUUCGGGUUGUAAAGUACUUUCAGCGGGGAGGCGUUACCCGCAGAAGAAGCACCGGCUAACUCCGUGCCAGCAGCCGCGGUAAUUC
rnacentral:rRNA from 1 species